rnacentral:rRNA from 1 species
UACGGAGGAUGCAAGCGUUAUCCGGAAUGAUUGGGCGUAAAGCGUCUGUAGGUGGCUUUUUAAGUCUGCCGUCAAAUCCCAGGGCUUAACCCUGGACAGGCGGUGGAAACUACCAAGCUGGAGUACGGUAGGGGCAGAGGGAAUUUACGGUGGAGCGGUGAAAUGCGUAGAGAUCGGAAAGAACAACAACGGAGAAAGCACCCUGAGGGGCCGACACUGACACUGAGAGACGAAAGCUAGGGGAGCGAAUGGG